rnacentral:rRNA from 1 species
UACAUGUGGGGCAAGCGUUGUUCGGAAUUACUGGGCAUAAAGGGUGCGUAGGUGGCUUGUUAAGUCAGGGGUGAAAGUUUUCGGCCCAACCGGAAAAUGGCCUUUGAUACUGGCGAGCUCGAGUGCGUGAGGGGUAACCGGAACGAGCAGUGUAGCGGUGAAAUGCGUAGAGAUCCGGAGGAACACCAAAGGCGAAGGCAGUGUCCUGGGGAGUACCUGACGCUCAGGUGCGAAAGCCAGGGGAGCGAACGGG